UGAAGGCUUGAAGACCUUCUUCCUCUAGCAAGUCCUCUGUUUUCACAUAAAGGAUGUUCUGUAGUGCAGAAAGGCAUUACAGCAAAAGAAAUGCAGUUUAGUUAGCAAGGACAAGUGUUUUUCCCAUUACCAAUUCUGUACUGAAGCGCCAAACACCUUGGAAAGUCACAAAUGAAAAAUCCUCAAGAAGCACAGCAGAAGACCGGGAGCUACCUUUUUAUAACAUUUGUUCGCUUCAGUCUUGGUAGGAGCUGCAGUCAUUUGCUGCAAUGCCUCGUAUAAUGAGCUCAUAAGUAUUUGAAAAAUGAUAAGAAGAGAAAGCAGACAGUAGAAAGAUGUCAUUCAGUUGGAACAAAUAACUCCUGAAGCAUUUUGAACCUUGCCCUUCACUCAUGCUGAGAUCAGCAUGCAUCUGUAAGUGUGUUGUUUAUACAGGUCAGACAAGAAUCUUCUGUC